CCCUUCUCGACCACCUUACCCUGUAACCUUUUCCCUUGUCACCGAUUUUUUUAAUUUAUUUUUUAAUUUUAACUUUUAUUUUAAAUCUUCAUUACACGAUGCUUCAUUUCUGCAGAAUUGUUUACACCGGUUGACCGUCUUUGCUGCUAUACAGUAACAUGUUUACCACUACCGGAUCAACGGGGCUCUAUAAAGCCCCCUUUUCUAAAAGCCUGCUGAUCAUCCCAAGUGCCCUAGCCUUUUUGUUAGCAGUGCCAUUCUCACAGUACAAGAGCCUUUUUAUGUAUAACCUGCACACAAUCAAACAAGAAUUUCAGAUCUGGAGGUUAAUAUGCGGAAGGUGUAUUUGCCUGGACCUGACAGAUGCAUUCUGCAGCAGCCUCCUUAUCUACAAUUUCAGGAUUUUUGAAAGACGAUAUGGCAGCAGGAAAUUUGCAUCAUUCUUAUUGUGCUCUUGGGUUUUCUCUGCCUUAUUCGACACCCUGCUUGUUGAAGCUCUGCACUACGCAUGUGAUGUGAAAGUGAAUGUCCUACCAUCGGGGCUUUUGGCUCCUGUUUUUGCUUUGUUUGUGCCGUUCUACUGCUCCAUUCCAAGGGUUCAGGUGACUCAGGUCCUUGGGCAGUUCGCAAUUACCAACAAGUCCUUAGUCUACUUGGUGGGUCUUCAGCUUUUAACGUCAAGCUCUUUCAUGUGGAUCAUUGCCCUUAGUGGACUGACUUCUGGCAUGCUUUACCACAAAAAUAUUUUUAAAACGCAACAUGUUAUUUUCAUCCCCAAAUGGGUUGCCCGUUGUGGCUCUUACACCCUUGAGCCUCUCUUCUCCACCGCUGAGCCGACCCUCGAGUCUGCUGUUGGAAUGGGAGCCACACUGGACAUCCAACGGCAACAGAGAAUGGACCGGCUGGAUCAACAGGUGCUGCUUUCACAGCUCCCACAGAUGAGGAGGAAUACACAGCAGCAGGGAGGUCUUCUCAACUGGAAUAGGUUUUUCCCCUCUCUGCGUCAGAGGCGGAACGGUAACCAUCAAGCUGAUCCACGGCCGGCCCAAAACAAUCCUGCCAAUCCCCCCCAAGUGUCAGAAGAGCAGGUGGCAAGACUUAUGGAGAUGGGCUUUUCCAGAGUGGAUGCUUUGGAAGCACUAAGAGCUUCAAAUAAUGACAUUAAUAUUGCUACUAACUUUCUACUACAGCGCUGACAGCUGUUUCACAAAUGUGGUCAACAUGGUCACACAGUGCAAGAAGGAAUAACGUCACAUACCAAGUAGAGCUCCACCUCCAUUCCCCUCCCUUGCAAGCUGCAGGCUCCCACAAAGCGUUACAGUAUAUUGAGAGAGUCGCUCACUUCGGUUUCAUGGACGAUACGGAUUGAAGAUAAGUCUUUGAAAAUGUCCCUGAAUUACAAAAACGAGUGAAUAAUGUGUACGUUGGAAAUUCAGAAGUUCUCAGAGCAUGUCUCACACUCUCAUAAGCCUUACUAAUUGCUUGGACUCAACAGCCGCUGUGUUUCUCCAGAUUUAGAACUGUUGGAAGUAUCCAUUGCACUCUUCAGCAAGACAUAAAAGAAAACAAUCAGCCAAUAGGUGUAACUUUAACUGACCAGGAAGUAAAUAUUUAGACCUACUUCUAGACUAAGUGGUCCUCCACACUUAUUAGUAGUAACUAUAUUUAUAAUGUAUUGUGUUGUCGUACCUUUGUAAUACAAUAAUAUUUUUGGUUCACCUCCAUUUUUAGGAGGGUUUAUAACAAACUACAUUUAGGACAUAAGGCGCAAAAUAUUGUAAAAGCUGGCAUCAUACUGCCCAACAUGUCAGUAGUGGCAUACGUGAAUGUGGCAAUGUGCCCCGCCCCAGUGUGCAUUUGUGUGUUAUAUGUUGUAUGUUACGUGUGUUAAUGUUGGUGUAUAGAUAUGGCUGCACGGGAUAUAAAUGGGUGUGUGCAGCACAAGUUAUUUAAAAUGUAUAAUUGUAUUUAGGCACAAGGAUUGCACUUCAUGUGCAUUUAAAGUAUUUAAUAUGUGAGCAUGAGGUUGCACAUAAUUAAUUCACGUGCUGGGAUUCAAGUGAAUAAUUAAUUAGUAAUUGAAUUCCGGCACAACUGUAUAUAUAGAUGCACGUUUCACUCACUUGGGGUUGUGUGUUCGGUGAGUGGAGAACGAGUGUGGAGAAGGAGAAACUAAAAAGUAAAACUAAGGAAAAAGUAAAUAUAAGUUUGUUUGACUCACAGUGUUUAUUUGUCUAUUUAUUUUGGCCUCAAGUGCUGUGUCCUGUUUUCUGUUUAAACCUUUUAUUUUACAAUAAACUCACUGAGCGCAACAGCGUCUCAGAUUCACCACCAACU